rnacentral:lncRNA from 1 species
CCAAGUACAGUAUAUUCUUUUAAAUAUCAAAUUCAUUUUGUUCUGUAACAGGCAGUUGGCAUAAAGAACAUGGAUUUACAACAAGAGGACACGUAAACCUUUUUUAGACAUUUGGCAUGAAUUAACUCAGAUAGCAUAGAGGCAAUCAGCCAGCAGCAUAAAAGCUCAACAUCCCUGCCAAGAUUUUACAAGCCUCCUAUCUCUACCCUGAGGAGUACAUAUCAGAACCCUAAGAGGUACCUUGUGUUGAGAAUCCAAAUAUGAACACCUGACAUCAAAUUCCACUCUGGCAACUGUGAGUUCAAGGGAAAAGCAGCUGACACAAGGA